GGGAACUCUCUUAGGGCAUCUCGACCAUGGCCUGGGCUCUGCUCCUCUUCAGCCUCCUCUCUCAGGGCACAGGGUCCUGGGCCCAGUCUGCCCUGACUCAGCCUUCCUCAGUGUCCGGGGCUCUGGGACAGACGGUCACCAUCUCCUGUGCUGGCAGCAGCAAUGACAUUGGGAGAUAUAAUGAUGUCUCCUGGUACCAACAGCGCUCAGGCACGACCCCCAAACUCUUGAUUUAUAAUGUCAACACUCGGCCCUCUGGAAUCCCUGAUCGCUUCUCUGGCUCCAAGUCUGGCAACACAGCCUUGCUGAUCAUCUCCAGGCUUCAGCCUGAGGACGAGGCUGAUUAUCACUGUUUCUCAUAUGCGGGCAGUAGCACUUCCCACAGUGGUGCAAGUUCAUGGGGAAGCUUCUGUGUUAUGGUCGUUAUGAGCCAGCCCCCAUCUGCAUCUGCCUCCCUGGGAUCCUCGGCCAAGCUCGCCUGCACUCUAAGCAGUGAGCACAGCACCUUCUACAUUCAUUGGUAUCAACAGAAAGCAGGCAAGGCCCCUCAGUAUGUGAAGAAGGUUAACAGUGAUGGAAGCCACGGCAAGGGGGACGGGAUCUCCAAUCGCUUCUUGGGCUCCAGCUCUGGGGCUGACCGCUACUUAACCAUCUCCAAACUCCAUCCUGAGGACGAGGCUUAG